UUUGGGAAGUAAUGUCAAAAAAGAAGCCAUUUUAUCACUUGGGAAAAACUGUGGACUUUCAUAUUCAAAAGAAAGUCAUAGAAGGCGAUCGUCCACUCAUAAUUGACAUUCAAAAUAUCCACAAAUCUGAUCAGAUAAUAAAACUUAUAGAACAGUGUUGGGAUGGAGAUUCUCAGCAGCGACCAGCAAUGCAAGACGUUAUAAGAGAUAUCAAUUUUUUGUAUUCAAAUAACAAAGAGUACUUUAACAUGAAAGAGCUAACUUUAGAGGACCUCCUCCGAAAAUCUGAAAGUUUGCAGCAAUUCCGCAUAUGAACAUGGCGCAACUCCAGAAGUUACAUAUAACGCCAAGAGUUAUAACAAAAGAGUAUAUUGGCUUAGGAACAUUUAGUGACGUUUUUAAGGCAAUUUGGAGAACUGAAAAUGACGCGAAGAUAAUCGCAGUUAAAAUAUAUAGGGACACAGUUUCAACAGAAUCAACCUUUGAUUCACGACUUCGUCAUAGAAAUAUAUUGGCAUAUUAUGGCAUAAGAACAAAUACCGAUCGCAGAACUUGUCUAGUUUCGGAGUAUGCUGAUUGCGGAAAUCUCUAUAAUGCUCUACAUUCAUGUGAGUCAUCACAUCAAAAUGCAUUAGCCUGGAUGCUUCAGUUAGCCAAGGGUGUCGCAUUUAUGCAUCAACAAAACAUUAUUCAUAGCCAUCUUAAACCAAAGAAACUGCUUCUUUUUAACAAUUAUCAGACUGGA